UACGAAGGGGGCGAGCGUUGUUCGGAUUUACUGGGCGUAAAGGGCGCGCAGGCGGCUCAUUUUGUCAGGCGUGAAAGCCCCGGGCUUAACCUGGGAACUGCGUUUGAUACGGAUGGGCUAGAGUUCGGGAGAGGAGAGUGGAAUUCCACGUGUAGCGGUGAAAUGCGUAGAGAUGUGGAGGAAUACCGAUGGCGAAGGCAGCCCCCUGGGAUAACACUGACGCUCAUGCACGAAAGCGUGGGGAGCAAACAGG
rnacentral:rRNA from 1 species